rnacentral:rRNA from 1 species
GCUCGUCUCAAAGAUUAAGCCAUGCAUGUGUAAGUAUAAAUAAUUUUACUUUGAAACUGCGAAUGGCUCAUUAUAUCAGUUAUAGUUUAUUAGAAAUAUUUUACUACUUGGAUAACCGUAGUAAUUCUAGGGCUAAUACAUGAGUAAAACCUCAACUUCGGAAGAGGUGUGUUUAUUAGUAUGAAAACCAUAUAUCUUCGGAUAUAAUAGUGAGUAAUAAUAACCUUUCGUAUCGUAUGUCGUAAGAUAACGAUAGUUCUUUCAAGUUUCUGCCCUAUCAGCUUUCGAUGGUAGUAUAUGGGACUACCAUGGCAGUAACGGGUAACGAAGAAUUUGGGUUCGAUUUCGGAGAGGGAGCCUGAGAGAUGGCUACCACAUCCAAGGAAGGCAGCAGGCGCGUAAAUUACCCAAUCCUGACAUAGGGAGGUAGUGACAAUAAAUCACAAUGCGGAACUUUUA